UGUUAAUCUCUUCCCAAACGUCAUUUCGUUCAAAGUGGAGAGAAUGUUAAAAAAAAAUAUUUUUAUUCGGAGUGUGAGAAAUGCUUUUCAGCCGCUUCUAAUCUUAAGCAUCAUUUGAGGAGCCAUACAGGAGAGAAACCUUAUUUGUGGUGUGUUUAGUAUUGUUCUGAUCAAUUUAAUACCUUCCGCGUCUCCUAUCAGUGGACG